rnacentral:lncRNA from 1 species
CUCAUGUGGUGAGAUGAGGGCACCAGCUCACCCACUUCGCUUCAGACUGGGCUGCCCUCAAGGGCCAGGGCAUUGAUCUUUCCCCCGAGGCGUGGAAUGUGGCUCCAGCCUUAUCCCCAGGCCUCUUGAGGCUCUGCAGUCGGCCUCACACUUUCACAGGUUUAUUCCUGGUGGCAACUGGUCUCACAAGGUCCAGAUACACAGGUAAUGUGAGGAGAGGUUUGCUGGGGUUUCUGGGAAAGUUCUUCUGGGAGAGUUGGAAUUUCAGCCCAGGUUGGAAGAAGUCAUCAUUUCCCAAACUGUGUGAUCUAUACCUACUCAAGUUUUGCACGAAACCAGGAAACAGAAAUGUGGCUGAACAGAUUCCACCAGUCAGAUGUCUCUCCUCAGGACUUGGGAUCUUAUCUAGUGAAGUAAAGAAACCAGGAAGGAAGGAAUUCAUUAAGGGAAGAAUUGUUGCAGUGGUAGGAAUGUCAGUGGCAGCAUCCAGUGGCCAGUUCUGGUGGUGGCUGCUGUACCACUAACUUCAUUACCAGACUGGUCCUGUGGG